rnacentral:misc_RNA from 1 species
GAUUCUAACGUCCCAUCAACAUCCUUUCUACCGUACCAUGAAUCAAGAAUUUGUAACAAUGAGCUAUCUUCAUCCCUCAUUUUCGACUUACCAGUGUCCAGUUUUGUGGAUGAUGAUGUGUCUUCAUCGGAAUCAGACAAGUCACGAUCCAAUGGGGCUUCAUAGUUUCCAUGUGUUAGUUCACUUGAUUCAUCUUUGGCUUCUCCAUCAGAACCCAGUUUUAUUCUAUUAUUGGACGGGCCUGCCUUAGAUACUGGACCUAGUUCCUCCCAUCGAGAAUCAAACUCGUUAUCU